AGAGUUUGAUCAUGGCUCAGGACGAACGCUGACGGUGUGCUUUAGGCAUGCAAGUCGUACGAGAAAGCCCUUCGGGGUGAGUACAGUGGCGAACGGGUGAGUAACACGUGGGCAACCUGCCCCUCGCAGGGGGAUAACCGGAGGAAACUCCGGCUAAUACCCCGUAAGCUUUCAGGGUCGCAUGGCCCUGUAAGGAAAGGUAGCUUCGGCCAUCCGGCGAGGGAUGGGCCCGCGGUGCAUUAGCUAGUUGGUGGGGUAACGGCCCACCAAGGCGACGAUGCGUAGCUGGUCUGAGAGGAUGAUCAGCCACACUGGGACUGAGACACGGCCCAGACUCCUACGGGAGGCAGCAGCCAGGAAUCUUGGGCAAUGGGCGCAAGCCUGACCCAGCAACACCGUGUGGGCGAUGAAGGCCUUCGGGUCGUAAAGCCCUGUUGAUAGGGACGAAGGGUGAAGGGUUAAUAGCCCCUAGCCUGACGGUACCUUUCGAGGAAGCCCCGGCUAACUACGUGCCAGCAGCCGCGGUAAUACGUAGGGGGCGAGCGUUGUCCGGAAUUAUUGGGCGUAAAGAGCGUGUAGGCGGUUCGGUAAGUCUGCCGUGAAAACCUGAGGCUCAACCUCGGGCGUGCGGUGGAUACUGCCGGGCUAGAGGAUGGUAGAGGCGAGUGGAAUUCCCGGUGUAGCGGUGAAAUGCGCAGAUAUCGGGAGGAACACCAGUAGCGAAGGCGGCUCGCUGGGCCGUUCCUGACGCUGAGACGCGAAAGCUAGGGGAGCGAACAGGAUUAGAUACCCCAGUAGUCC
rnacentral:rRNA from 1 species